AGGACAUGUGAUGAUUUAAUUUACCCAAUAUAUUUGUCUUAAUUCAAAUUGAUGAAUUCUAUUUAACAUGCACUACCAUCUGAUCUCGA
rfam:Spinacia oleracea cultivar SynViroflay scaffold9071.con0001.1, whole genome shotgun sequence.